AGAUCCUUCUAUUUGACGGUCGGGCUGUCAAGUGUCAACCAGAUAGAGAGUAAACAUGUGUUAGACAGUAGGCGUCACUUUUGCCCGUGAUUUCUAUGAGUGGAUUACGUCGACGAGUAUGGAAGUGAUAUAUAGAAAAUUUUACGUUUUGUUGUAUUAAUUUGCUACAUGGUGGUGUUUGACCGGCAAAAAGGUGGUUGUACAGGUGGUGUUUGAACAAAGGAAAAAAAAGUUGGUUAUACAGGUGAUGUUACUCCUUGCUGAUUCUUGAAAUAAUUAGUGUAUAUUGAGAUGAAUAAUACAGAAGUUGGUUAGCACUAUAACAAAGGUAUGUAAAUGUUACAUAAACCUGAAGUGUCUUGAGGUAAAGGGUAUUUGGGUAGGAUAGAAAUAUAGUUGUUUAAAAAGUGCAAUGUACAGUUU